rnacentral:rRNA from 1 species
CGGGGGGCAGCUACACAUGCAGUCGAGCGGCAGCACAGAGGAACUUGUUCCUUGGGUGGCGAGCGGCGGACGGGUGAGUAAUGCCUGGGAAAUUGCCCGGUAGAGGGGGAUAACCAUUGGAAACGAUGGCUAAUACCGCAUAACCUCGCAAGAGCAAAGCAGGGGACCUUCGGGCCUUGCGCUACCGGAUAUGCCCAGGUGGGAUUAGCUAGUUGGUGAGGUAAGGGCUCACCAAGGCGACGAUCCCUAGCUGGUCUGAGAGGAUGAUCAGCCACACUGGAACUGAGACACGGUCCAGACUCCUACGGGAGGCAGCAGUGGGGAAUAUUGCACAAUGGGCGCAAGCCUGAUGCAGCCAUGCCGCGUGUAUGAAGAAGGCCUUCGGGUUGUAAAGUACUUUCAGUAGGGAGGAAGGUGGUUAAGUUAAUACCUUAAUCAUUUGACGUUACCUACAGAAGAAGCACCGGCUAACUCCGUGCCAGCAGCCGCGGUAAUACGGAGGGUGCAAGCGUUAAUCGGAAUUACUGGGCGUAAAGCGCAUGCAGGUGGUUUGUUAAGUCAGAUGUGAAAGCCCUGGGCUCAACCUAGGAAUCGCAUUUGAAACUGACAAGCUAGAGUACUGUAGAGGGGGGUAGAAUUUCAGGUGUAGCGGUGAAAUGCGUAGAGAUCUGAAGGAAUACCGGUGGCGAAGGCGGCCCCCUGGACAGAUACUGACACUCAGAUGCGAAAGCGUGGGGAGCAAACAGGAUUAGAUACCCUGGUAGUCCACGCCGUAAACGAUGUCUACUUGGAGGUUGUGACCUAGAGUCGUGGCUUUCGGAGCUAACGCGUUAAGUAGACCGCCUGGGGAGUACGGUCGCAAGAUUAAAACUCAAAUGAAUUGACGGGGGCCCGCACAAGCGGUGGAGCAUGUGGUUUAAUUCGAUGCAACGCGAAGAACCUUACCUACUCUUGACAUCCAGAGAAUCUAGCGGAGACGCUGGAGUGCCUUCGGGAACUCUGAGACAGGUGCUUGCAUGGCUGUCGUCAGCUCGUGUUGUGAAAUGUUGGGUUAAGUCCCGCAACGAGCGCAACCCUUAUCCUGUUUGCCAGCACGUAAUGGGUGGGACUCAGGAGACUGCGGUGAUAACCGGAGGAGGGUGGGGACGACGUCAAGUCAUCAUGGCCCCUUACGAGG